AGAGUGAACGCUGGCGGUAGGCCUAACACAUGCAAGUCGAACGGCAGCACAGUGGUAGCAAUACCAUGGGUGGCGAGUGGCGGACGGGUGAGGAAUACAUCGGAAUCUACCUUUUCGUGGGGGAUAACGUAGGGAAACUUACGCUAAUACCGCAUACGCCCUUCGGGGGAAAGCCGGGGAUCGCAAGACCUGGCGCGGAUAGAUGAGCCGAUGUCGGAUUAGCUAGUUGGUGAGGUAAUGGCUCACCAAGGCGACGAUCCGUAGCUGGUCUGAGAGGAUGAUCAGCCACACUGGAACUGAGACACGGUCCAGACUCCUACGGGAGGCAGCAGUGGGGAAUAUUGGACAAUGGGCGCAAGCCUGAUCCAGCCAUACCGGCGUGGGUGAAGAAGGCCUUCGGUUGUAAAGCCCGUUUUGUUAGGAAAGAAAAGCAAAUCGGUUAAUACCCGGUUGUUCUAGACGGUACCCAAAGAAUAAGCACCGGCUAACGUCGUGUCAGCAGCCGCGGUAAUC
rnacentral:rRNA from 1 species